CCUACGGGAGGCAGCAGUGGGGAAUUUUGGACAAUGGGCGAAAGCCUGAUCCAGCAAUGCCGCGUGUGGGAAGAAGGCCUUCGGGUUGUAAACCACUUUUGUACGGAACGAAACGGUCUGCUUUAAUAAAGUGGGCUAAUGACGGUACCGUAAGAAUAAGCACCGGCUAACUACGUGCCAGCAGCCGCGGUAAUACGUAGGGUGCGAGCGUUAAUCGGAAUUACUGGGCGUAAAGCGUGCGCAGGCGGUUAUAUAAGACAGUUGUGAAAUCCCCGGGCUCAACCUGGGAAUUGCAUCUGUGACUGUAUAGCUAGAGUACGGUAGAGGGGGAUGGAAUUCCGCGUGUAGCAGUGAAAUGCGUAGAUAUGCGGAGGAACACCGAUGGCGAAGGCAAUCCCCUGGACCUGUACUGACGCUCAUGCACGAAAGCGUGGGGAGCAAACAGGAUUAGAUACCCUGGUAGUCCACGCCCUAAACGAUGUCAACUGGUUGUUGGGUGCAUUAGUACUCAGUAACGAAGCUAACGCGUGAAGUUGACCGCCUGGGGAGUACGGCCGCAAGGUUGAAACUUAAAUGAAUUGACCGGNGUGNGAGNGCGAGACGACGACGAGGGAGAGG
rnacentral:rRNA from 1 species